CACAUACUCCCUCCGUCCCAAAAUAAGUGUCUCAACUUUGUACUAGCUCUAGUACACAAAGUUGAGACACUUAUUUUGGGACGGAGGGGGUACAAU
rnacentral:pre_miRNA from 1 species